AUCGUUUACAUCACAAACUUCAAGGUCUCAAAUAUACAAUAAAAGCCACUCUCACUCGCUCUACACAUCACUUAAUUUCUUCGAUAGCCAGCGAGUUAACAAACAGUAGAAUACAUAGAAUCAUGAAGGCAACAAUCUUGGCUGUAUUGCUUUGCUGUGCCAUUUUGGGUACCAUUCUUCUUCCAACAGCUGAAGCUCAGUUUGGCAGAGGAGGAUACGGAGGAUUUGGCAGAGGAGGCUACGGAGGAUUUGGCAGAGGAGGAUACGGCGGAUUUGGCAGAGGAGGAUACGGAGGAUUUGGCAGAGGAGGAUACGGAGGAUUUGGCAGAGGAGGAUAUGGCAGAGGAUAUAGAGGAUAAUCUCGCGGCUACUUCAGACUUUAAAAAAUGAUAUUUUCGAGGGAACUCUUUUUAUGUAAUAACGAUUAUAAAUUUUAUUUUUAAACCUCAAUAAAAUUUUGUACAUAAAUUUUAA